UUGAGUUGUUGAAAUUGAACAAGGAUGGCCUAAGAUUGAUGAGAAGGCGGAUAUGUACAGCUUAGGUGAAAGAGGAAGAAUUUGUGGAAUUGGUGUACCACAUGAACAUUUUUGGAAUUCGUUUGGUUGUAUUUUUUACUUAGUUUGGUUCUAUUUCUUGAUUCAGUUUGGAAUUGGUGCACCAUUUUUGCAAAAUUUUUGGAAUUAAUUUCGUUGUAUUUCUUGAUUCAGUUCAGGUUGAUUAUUGUUCUAUCUGUUUCUGCUGUUUUUGUAACAAAAUUGUUAAUGAUUUUAAUUUGUUGUACUUCUG